CGGUAAUUCCAGCUCCAAUAGCGUAUACUAAAGUUGUUGCAGUUAAAAAGCUCGUAGUUGGAUUUCUGCGGGGACGGAGCGGCCGGACGCAACUUGCGUCUCGAGCUAGCGCUUUCCCCGCAUCCUGCCGCGAACCGUGCUACCAUUAGUUUGGUGGCGCUGGGGAUCGGCUCGAUUACUUUGAGAAAAAUAGAGUGUUCAAAGCAGGCCACACGCCUUGAAUAAGUUAGCAUGGAAUAAUGACUAAGGACUUUGGUUCUUUUCGUUGGUGUUCGGGACUGAAGUAAUGAUUGAUAGGGACAGUUGGGGCGGUCCGUAUUCCAAAGCGAGAGGUGAAAUUCUUAGACCUUCGGAAGACGAACAGCUGCGAAAGCGUUCCGCAAGGAUGUUCCCUUUGAUCAAGAACGAAAGUUGGGGGAUCGAAGACGAUCAGAUACCGUCGUAGUCUCAACUAUAAACUAUACCAGCUAGGGAUCGGCCAACGUUUAAUUAUUCGACUUGGUCGGCACCUUAUGAGAGAUCAAAGCAUCUGGGUUCCGGGGGGAGUAUGGUCGCAAGGCUGAAACUUAAAGGAAUUGACGGAAGGGCACCACCAGGCGUGGAGCCUGUGGCUUAAUUUGACUCAACACGGGAAAACUUACCAGGUCCAGACAUAGGAAGGAUUGACAGAUUGAUAGCUCUUUCUUGAUUCUGUGGGUGGUGGUGCAUGGCCGUUUUUAGUCGGUGAAGUGAUUUGUCUGCUUAAUUGCGUUAACGGACGAGACCCCAGCCUGCUAAAUAGCGCGGCCGAGCUUUGCUCGGUACGAGCUUCUUAGAGGGACCAUGAUGCGCGAUAGCACAAGGAAGUUUGGGGCAACAACAGGUCUGUGAUGCCCUUAGAUGUUCUGGGCCGCACACGGGCUACACUGGCGCCUGCAACGAGCAUAUCAGCUGGCCCGAGAGGGUCUUGGCUAAUCUUUGGAACCGGCGCCGUGCUUGGGAUUGACCAUUGCAAUUGUUGGUCAUGCAACGAGGAAUGCCUUGUAAACGCGAGUCAUCAGCUCGCAUUGAAUACGUCCCUGCCCCUUGUACACACCGCCC
rnacentral:rRNA from 1 species